GGAUUGUGGCUCAGUGGUAGAGUGUUUGCCUAACAUGUGCAAGGUACUGGGUUCAAUUCUCAGCACCG
rnacentral:tRNA from 1 species